ACACUCCUGCGGGAGGCAGCAGUGGGGAAUUUUGGACAAUGGGCGAAAGCCUGAUCCAGCAAUGCCGCGUGUGUGAAGAAGGCCUUCGGGUUGUAAAGCACUUUUGUCCGGAAAGAAAUCCUUGGCUCUAAUACAGUCGGGGGAUGACGGUACCGGAAGAAUAAGCACCGGCUAACUACGUGCCAGCAGCCGCGGUAAUACGUAGGGUGCGAGCGUUAAUCGGAAUUACUGGGCGUAAAGCGUGCGCAGGCGGUUUGCUAAGACCGAUGUGAAAUCCCCGGGCUCAACCUGGGAACUGCAUUGGUGACUGGCAGGCUAGAGUAUGGCAGAGGGGGGUAGAAUUCCACGUGUAGCAGUGAAAUGCGUAGAGAUGUGGAGGAAUACCGAUGGCGAAGGCAGCCCCCUGGGCCAAUACUGACGCUCAUGCACGAAAGCGUGGGGAGCAAACAGGAUUAGAUACCCCUGUAGUCCCAUGA
rnacentral:rRNA from 1 species